AUGGAGGCUGCUUUCCUGUCGGCGGUGUUGAAGUCUGCAGUCAACAAGCUAGUUCGGCUGAUAACCAGCGAGUUCGCCUCCAUAAUCGGUGUUACCAAACAUCUCUCCGAGCUCCAGGGUUUAUUUGGAGAUAUCACUAGUUGGCUGUCAGCUGUGGGGGUCAGGGCAACAGCAAGUGGUUCAUCACCGAAUUGGAUCAAAGAGUUGAAAGCAGUUGUCAAUGAUUUUGAUGACCUGCUCUAUCGCCUGGAAGCCGAGAAGCACAAGGCGGACAUUGCUAGUGAAAAUCAUGCUAUGGCUAAUUGGUUCUAUACAAAACCGAAAUCCGUUCUGUUCCGAACCAAGAUAGCCCAGGAGGUUAAGGAAAUCAAGAAGAGAUUCGCGAAAAUUGUGAAGCAGCGAGCUGACUUCAAUGCAAUAGUAACUAGUAGUAGUACACUAGUCACUCAUCAUGUUCAUCCUACACACAAGACAAUAGGGGAGAUGUCAAUAUUGGCAAAUACCACACAUGUAUUUGGAAGGGAUGAGGUCAAGUAUAGCAUCGUAUCUAAGCUAGUAGAGGCUGAUAGUCAUAGUACCCAAGACAGGAUGCCGAUAGUUUCUGUUGUCGGGUUAGGUGGGUCUGGCAAAACUACUUUGGCCAAAUAUAUUUGCCAGGAUAGCAAGAUACGGCAACACUUUGAAGUUGUGUUCUGGGUUCAUGUGUCUCAAAAAUUUAACGUGGAAAACCUCCUCGGGAAGCUAUUUGAAUCUGUCUCUGACGAUAGGUCCGAGCUUUAUACCCUGCAGCACAUGAGCAGAACAAUCUCUGAGAAGUUGAGCAGAGGGAAGUUUCUCCUUGUCUUGGAUGACGUUUGGAACGAGGACAAACAUGAUUGGGAGCAGUUUGAACAACAUUUGAACAUUGCCACACCUGGAAGCAAGAUUUUACUCACUACCCGUGAUGGAAAAGUUGCAGAAGCGGUUAAAUCUGCAGAAAUAUUCAAUUUGCCACUCUUAUCAGAUGAUGACAGCUGGAAAUUGUUCCAACAUAGUUCUGGAUGGGCCGAGGAAGCUUUGGAUCCUGAGUUCAUUGAAGUUGGAAAAGAGAUUGUGAAGAAAUGUGCUGGAAUGCCAAUAGCAAUUAAGUCUCUCGCAGGUAACCUUCACGGGAAGCGGGAAAUGAAAUAUUGGCAGUCCUUGAGGGAUUGUAAUUUACUGACUGACAAGGAUAUACAACACAGAGUUUUGGGGUCCUUGAUGUUGAGCUAUUUUCAUUUGUCAGAUGAUCUUAAGCAGUGCUUUGUGCUUUGUUCUAUAUUUCCAAAAGGCUAUUGUAUAGACAAAGUCAACUUGAUUUCCCAAUGGAUAACACAUGGCUUCAUUAAUUCGACGAAUGCAGGUCGACAACUGGAAGAAAUUGGAAACGACUACUUUGAUUCUCUUCUCAAAAUUUCUUUUCUUCAGGAUCUAGAUCUAGAUGUGGAUGUGUCUAAUGAAAAAAGAGUGACAUGCAGGAUGCACGACCUGGUUCAUGAUCUCACUCGGCAAAUUUUACAGGAUGAGAUAGUUCUUACACCAAAGAGGAGCACUAGUGAUCAUAAUCGGACAUGCAGAUAUUUAUCUUUAGGUUCAUGCACUGAGAAGAUUGAAAGGAAGUUGUUUAACAAGCUCCGUGCCCUCUUUGUUAGUAAAGUUACCUUUGCAUCCGAUAAGCCGAUUAAGGAGGGUUAUUGUGUGCGCAGUGUUGUUCUGGAGCAAAUAAUGGAUACUUCUGACACUCUAUUCAUAUUGAAGUUUGAAUAUCUUGGAUAUCUUAGAAUCUCCAAUUGCAGAAUAGAAGAACUUCCAGAAGGUAUCACGGGUUGUUGGAACUUGCAAGCUCUUCAUGUCAUAAAUUGUUUUCAGUUUGCAAAGUUACCUGAAUCUAUUGGAAAUCUUAGAAAACUAAGAACUUUGGAGUUGUUACGGGCUGGAAAUCUUGAAGGCUUGCCUCACUCUAUUGGUGAUUGUCAUAAUCUUCAAAGCUUGCACCUGAUUAGUUGUUUGAAAUUCAGAGUGAUACCAGACUCCAUACGUAAAAAUGAGAACUUACGGAUUCUCAGUAUUGUCGGCUGUCUUUCUUUGCUACAUCUGCCAUCGGAACCUUUUGUGAGGCUACGGAACCUAGAAACAGUUAACUUAAGUGGAUGCAGGAGUCUUGAAGACAUACCCGGUUCAUUUGUUUGUGAUGAGUUGCAUACUUUAAAACUCCGUGAUUUGACCAAACUUACUGUACUACCUCAGAGCAUCACUUCUCUGAGUAAUCUAGAACACCUAGACCUUCAGUGCUGCAGCGGUCUAGUUGAGUUACCUGAAGCUAUAGUGAACUUAAAGAGGCUUGUAGUUCUGAACCUAGAAGGAUGUUGGAAUCUGCGGGGCCUGCCAGCAGGGUUUGGACAGCUGACUCGUCUACAAACGUUGGGUUUGUUUGUUUUGGGAGAUAGCAGCGAGCAUGCACGGAUAUCAGAGCUUGAAAGUCUCAAUAGGCUAAGCGGUAAACUGGAAAUUCGCAUUAUGCAUGCCAUGGAUCCAUAUGAUGCAAAAAAGGCUUACUUGGAAAAGAAUAACUUACAUGAACUUGUGUUGUCGUUCUGGAAAAUGGACAUUAAAAUGGAACAAGAGACUCGUAUGGAACAAGCGAUGUCAGUUCUUAAGGUUCUUGAGCCGCCAUCUGGAAUUAAGAAGCUGUCUAUUAGCGGUUACAAGGGUUUGCAUUUGCCACAUUGGUUGACCAAGAAAACACAGCUGAGUAACUUGAAUAGCAGAUUCAAGCAAACUGUUGGUCUAACUCAUUUUCCCCACCUGACUGUAAUGUCACUAUGCUAUAUCCACAACGUGAAGCACUUGACAGGACUUGUAGAGUUGCCUUCCUUGAAGUUCCUCGGCCUACAUAACUUUGGCACCCUUGAAAGCAUCAAUAUAGGUCCCUUACCGUCACUCACUGAGUUCAACAUUGAUUCUAUGCCUCAUUCUUUGGAACUGACUACAGCGAUAAGGGCAAUUCUCGCUGACAGGGAUGGAGCAACUGUAUGCUGCAAUCAGAAAAUGCAAUGCUCUUUCCCUCGCCUGUCCGAUCUAGACAUAAGGAACUGCCCAAAACUGAAUGUGAACCCGUGCUUUCCGGCAUCCCUGGAGAGCUUGACAUUGGAUAACAGCAUCGUGUGGCCAGUACAUCAUCCUCAGGGGGACAAAUUAGAAUCACCCUCCUGCAGCAACAGCAAUGGGGUCUCCUUUUGCUCGACCCUUGUCAAGAGACUAGAGAUAAGGUCGAUGGAAGGACCGUCGUGUAACUCUGAUUGGGAGUUCCUGCAACAUCUUGGCGCACUCCAAUCACUAGAAAUCACGAAUUGUAACGAGGAACUGAAACAGUUACCUGAGAGCAUGCGGAGCCUCACCGCCCUCCAACAGCUGGAGAUCUCAAACUGCUCUGUUCUUGGCGUGCUGCCGGAGUGGCUCGGGGAACUCUGCUCACUAAAGAAACUGAAAAUCUCUGGUUGCAAAAAUCUCAGGGAGUUGUCUGAAGGGAUGCAGCACCUCAUUUCCUUGCAAGAGUUAAUCAUACAAGAAUGUGAUGCCCUUUACCAGCUGCCGGAAGUAGGAGGGCUGGGGGGGCUCCUCUCUGUCAAGCUCUGGAUGUUGCCUAGACUGAGCUGCCUUCCUGAGUCCAUUCGGAGCCUUACCUCCCUCCAGAAGAUAAAUAUAACAGGGUGUGAUGCCAUCCACCAGCUGCCAGAAGGGCUGGGGGAGCUUCGCUAUCUCCGUAAGAUCAGGAUUGUGGAGCUGCCCGUCCUAACCAGACUUCCUGAGUCCUUCCAGGGCCUCAUCUCCCUCCACAAGCUAAAUUUAACAGACUGUGAUGCCCUUCUUCUGCUGCCUGAGAAACUCGGGGAGCUCCGCUCUCUUCGAACCCUCAUCAUCUGGAAUUUGCCUGCUCUUACAUGCCUUCCCGAGUCCAUUCAGGACCUCACUUCGCUCUGUGAACUCAUCAUAGGUUGUUGUGAUGCUCUCACCUUGCUACCAGAGUCGAUCGGGCAACUCUCUGCACUCCGAUCACUGAAUAUCAGGAAUUGCCGUGGUCUUACAUCUUUGCCACGCUCCAUAAAACACCUUGCUGCUCUACAGGUGUUAUGUAUGACUGGCAACCCUCAUCUGUCCAGGCGCUACAUGAAAGGAGUGGGAAAGGAUUGGCACCUCAUUUCUCAUAUUCAUCAUGUGUCAAUGGAUGGAAUGAGGAACUAA
rnacentral:rRNA from 1 species